GAUUAUCAACGGACGGCUAUUUCGCACGAAUGUCGUGCACAGGUUUUAUAUAAUUUUUUUUUUUCAAAUGUAAAACGCGUUGUUGUUGUUCGCUUUCGCUCGUUUGAUGCGUGUGUUGAGCUACCUUGAUCGGUAUAUACGAUGCGGAAUUUGAUAUUGGAGCUGGUCUGGGUCAUAAGCUGGGUUACCCACAUAGUGCUCAACUGCUCAUGGUUUAAUCGAGUGUGGCGCUUUGAAUACCGAAAUGGAGAGGAAAUAUGUAUAAAGUCUGCCAUCAACUGCACGUCAAGUAUCAUAGUACCUCUACCUACAGACGAUAAGUAUAUAGUGUUUCUUCAAUUCUAUGUGUAAGUGUUGUUACUCGUACAAGUGACAAAAUUUAUAAUGAAGUUUGUUUUGUUCGGUGUUAUUGCAUAUGUGGUAUUGAUGUUAUUUACCUACAUCAGUGGAUUUGAAUUCAUCGUAUCCAACCGCAGCCAUCCAUCCAAAGCAGUCAUUUCUGCAGAUUACUGGUUCAAGGGCGAACACAAAACCUUAAACUCGAGCUAUAUUCCAAUGGGAAGUGAUAAAUCACUCAACAUCACUGACCAUUUUUAUGAUUUGCGUAUAGUUGUUUAUUUAGAUGGCCGGGCGAUUUACACGCGCAAGUAUCAUGAUAAAAAAGUAUUCACAUGGCAAUAUUUGCAACUAGAAAAAACAUAUAUAAGGGUAGAUGAACCAGGUGUCGACCCCAUAGUUUAUUUUUUGAAUUCCUCGAAGCCAAAUUGAGGUGGAAAUGUCGGCGAUGGCUUAAAUGAUAGCCGCAUCUUUCUAGUUUUAUAUCUCAAAGCCCCAAGCUCCAAAAUUCCCAUUUACGAUUUCCAUAAACUUUUUUUUUUUAAAUGAAAAUUUGGUAUGUACUGAAAAAAGUGACUCUAAUAUCGACCCCCUAAAACAACCUUGUUAAAAAUGAGUAAAAAAACACCGAAAUCAAAGUCUGAAGGCGUUAAAACAAAUAUUGAUUACUUGACACCUGAUUAUCAAGUAUUUAGAAUGUUUUUACAAAAUAUGAAAAUUGGGCACUCACCAAAAAAAAAAGUGACCCUAAUAUCGAUACCCUCAAAAAACGUGUUAAAAUUUACAAAAGAGUGAAAAACUUCAAAAUCAAAGUCUGAAGACGUUAAAACAAAUAUUUAUUACUUGACAUAUAAAUAAAAGUAUCUUAGAAUCUUAGAACAUUUUACCAGAAACUUGGGGCCCAUUUCUUACGAUUUUGGUUUAUCUUUUGGCAUGUCUGUAGCAAAAAACAAAGUCUUGAAAUUGCCAAAACAAUGGGGGGGGGGGGGUCGAAUUUAGGGCACUUUAUGAAAAGUAAAUUUGACCAAAAAUUUGAAAGCUCACCGUUGAAAUUAUCCAAAAAGUAAUUACCACUAAUUAUUUCUUCAAGUUUGUACUUUGAAUAAAAAUUAACACAAAAUUUAUUCAACAAUAACACUUUUCGCGAGCUCACUUUGAACAAAAUUUUAAAUUUAAUGUUGACUUUCUGAUUUUCUUUUUUUGCUCAUAAUUUCUCACCAUUUGGCUUUACAGCAGUGAUUUUGGUUUCAUUCGCUUUUUCUGUGAAAAAGGAAUAAGAAAAACAUAUUUCCAAAAAGGCUAUAGGUGGAUAAGUAUGGUGAAUUUGCCCCCGAGAGCUUCAGGGUUGAUAUUUGCAUGGAAGGUUGGUACCCUUGAGCACCUUCCGUCACGAAAGUUUCAGACCCCCCGGACCCCCCGUUUUUGAGAAACCCCCCCUUUUCUAAAAUUACAAUAAAAUUUUUUUUCUCAGCCGCAUGUGAACCGAUUUUUUUAAUUUUUUGGUAUGUUGUAAACAUCCGUAAGAGGCAUCCCCACAAAAAAUUUCAACCCCCUCCCCCCAUAUUUUCCCCUCAAAAUGGCGUUUUUUAGUUUUGUUUGCCCGUUUUAGCAAUGAUCAUGAUUCGGCACAAAAAUGCGAAUAGCAUUUUUAAAUGUAUUUUUGACUCCUACAAAACAUAUAUUUUUUUCAAAAAAAAAUUUUUGGUGGGCCGUGGUCAAAAAUUGAAAAAACCAACAGAGGGGGUUAAAAAUGGAUUCUGGUGUAAAUCAUUGUUCUUGGUAAACAAGGUGUCGUUUCCAUAUGAAUCGAACCCCCCGAACACGAAUAUGACGCCCAAUCUUAUGCUACCCUCAUCCACACCCCUCCAGCGCCUCUGCCCCCUUCUCAAUUUUUACUAUAUCAAAAAUUCAGCUAUUUUCGUAAUAUUGGUGUCGUUUCCAAAUGAAUCAAACCCCCCGAACAUGAAUAUGACGUCCAAUUUUACGCUACCCUCAUCCACACCCCUCCAGUGCCUUAGCCCCCACCUCAGUUCCUACCUACUAUAUUAAAUAUUGAGCUAUUUUCAUAAUGUUGGUAUCGUUUCCAUAUGAAUCGAACCCUCCGAACACAAAUAUGAAUUCCAAUUUUUUGCUACCCUCAUCCACACCCCUCCCCAGUGCGUCUACCCCCGACUCAAUUUUCACUAUAUUGAAAGUUCAGAUAUUUUCGUAAUGUUGGUAUUGGUUCCAUAUGAGUCGAACACUCCGAACACGAAUAUGACGUCCAAUUUUACGCUACUCUCAUCCACACCCCUUGAGUGCCUCUGCCCCAACUCAAUUUUCACUAUAUAUUGAAAGUUAGAUAUUUUCAAAAUGUUGGUGUCGUUUCCAUAUGAAUCUAACACCCCGAAUACGAAUAUGAAGUCCAAUUUUAUGCUAACCUCAACCACAACCCUAUACAGUGCCUCCGCCCCCACCUAAACCAUAAAUGUUUUCACCAACUCUGAUCAAUCUUCUACAAAUAAUUACUCGGGUUGUUAUUACUUUUAAAAGUAUGUUUCGCGAAGGUUGAAAACUCGAAAAACAAUGACCAUCGCAAGGUUCAAACUUUAACAUUCAAGUUUCGAGGUUUCCAUUCGUGCCAAAAUGACACCCAGCAUUAUGAAAAUAGGUUUAGCAUUUCAAAUAAUAAAAAUUGUCGAGCUGGCUGUAGCCUGAAAGGCGAUGGAUGAGAGUAGAGCUAAAUUGGACUUCAUAUUCGUGUUCGGGGUAUUCGACUCAUAUAGAACCGACACCAACAUUAUGAAAAUAUCUGAACUUUCAAUAUAGUGAAAAUUGAGUUGGGGGCAGACGCACUGGGGAGGGGUGUGGAUGAGGGUAGCAAAAAAUUGGAAUUCAUAUUUGUGUUCGGAGGGUUCGAUUCAUAUGGAAACGAUACCAACAUUAUGAAAAUAGCUCAAUAUUUAAUAUAGUAGGUAGGAACUGAGGUGGGGGCUAAGGCACUGGAGGGGUGUGGAUGAGGGUAGCGUAAAAUUGGACGUCAUAUUCAUGUUCGGGGGGUUCGAUUCAUUUGGAAACGACACCAAUAUUACGAAAAUAGCUGAAUUUUUGAUAUAGUAAAAAUUGAGAAGGGGGCAGAGGCGCUGGAGGGGUGUGGAUGAGGGUAGCAUAAGAUUGGGCGUCAUAUUCGUGUUCGGGGGGUUCGAUUCAUAUGGAAACGACACCUUGUUUACCAAGAACAAUGAUUUACACCAGAAUCCAUUUUUAACCCCCUCUGUUGGUUUUUUCAAUUUUUGACCACGGCCCACCAAAAAUUUUUUUUUGAAAAAAAUAUAUGUUUUGUAGGAGUCAAAAAUACAUUUAAAAAUGCUAUUCGCAUUUUUGUGCCGAAUCAUGAUCAUUGCUAAAACGGGCAAACAAAACUAAAAAACGCCAUUUUGAGGGGAAAAUAUGGGGGAGGGGGUUGUAAUUUUUUGUGGGGAUGCCUCUUAUGGAUGUUUACAACAUACCAAAAAAUUAAAAAAAUCGGUUCACAUGCGGCUGAGAAAAAAAUUUUUAUUGUAAUUUUAGAAAAGGGGGGGUUUCUCAAAAACGGGGGGUCCGGGGGGUCUGAAACUUUCGUGACGGAAGGUGCUCAAGGGUACCAACCUUCCAUGCAAAUAUCAACCCUGAAGCUCUCGGGGGCAAAUUCACCAUACUUAUCCACCUAUAGCCUUUUGUGGUAUCAUCAGAUGAGAUAGAGGGGGGUCGGAUUUAGGGGAGGGGUCGAUGUUUAAAAGUACUUUGGCGUUCUGAAACUUACAGUACUGGAUUCCUCGUUGAAUUUUGCCAAAGACAAUGAUGCUAGGUAAAUUUUUAAAAAAAGGACUUAUCGCCUCCUGAUUGGUUAAUAUUUCACUCCACUUGUUAUCAUCUUGUAAUUUAUAAAAAAGAAGCGCAACCUCACACUUACUUAUACUAUGUUUUUUUUGUGGGAUUAUUUUAAAAGCCUCGUUUACUUAAAUCAUUCAUCCGCGAGACUUAGAAGAAUUGAAAGCUCGGAUUUCGGAAGAAAUUUCGAAUAAUUAUUCAGCCUGUUAUGCUUGAAGAGUGUUUAAGAAUUUCAUGAAAAAGCUCGACGAAUGUAUUGAAGUAAAUGACGGUCAUUUUAACAACAUUGUGUUCCACAAAAUGAGUGUAAACUAAUUUGUCGUGUUUAUACUUUUAAAUAAAAUUUUACUCGGAUGUUUUCGUUGAUUGCUCUUUGAGUAAUUUAAAACAUAAAAUCAUCCAUCUUCCGUGGGUCACCCUGCACUAAACCAUCCAAAUUCAUAAAAUUGGCAACUAUUGAAAAAUCAAUCCAAAAUUGACGAAAUUCAUCGAAAAUUUUCCGAAAAAAUGAAAAAUUAUUAAUUCUAUGGAUUCAAGAAUGAGCAAACUUAUUUUUAUGGUGAAAAAUCGCCUGAUUUUUGAAUUACUACCAUCAGAAAAACUUCAUGUGGGAAUUUAGCAGUUUCUACAUAUUUAGCCUUAGCCUAUGUUGGCAGACCGUUCAAGAAACUCGAGUGAACGUUUUGAAUUUCUCAAUUGUCGACAAAUUUGCACUGAAAAGGCCAAAACGAAGUUGAACGUUUUUGUCGCUGUUUCAAUCAAUUUUACCUACGUACUAAUUCUCAAAAUCAAUUUCGAAAAAAUUCAAAGAGCGCGCGAUUUACUGCUCAAUUUUUCCAAUUUUUGCAAGUUUUUGAUCACAAAAAAUUGCCAGGUGUGAAGAAGUGUAUCAAAUGAUCCAAUUCUGGUACGAAGAUGAAGUUUGAGUUUACAAUUUGCAUCUAUAGUUUUCGACUUCCCGAAUCGAUUGGUGACAACGUUGAGCCUUUCUGUUGGAGCAUUUGGAACGUUUUUGAAUUUUCUGUGUAGUAAAGUAGGAGAAAAAUUUUGUAGAAAUGCCUCAAGGUUGAAAUAAAAUAUAUGUAUUCACCGUAACAAAAGACUAAUUAAGAAUAUGAUCCUUCUGAUGAAUUCAAGAAGAUAUUCUAGAAUCUGUUUCUGCUGAUGACGGUUUUAAUUCCUAAUAUUUUUUUUUUUAGGGGAGUAUUCAAACUUACAGAAAAUUGGUUCUAUAACCUAAGAAGUGCUUAAAUUAAAUGAGAUGGUCAAGAAAACAAUUUGGUUAUCAUUAAGGGCGUUUUCAUAGGCUUAAGUAUUCAAUUUUUUUUUUUCAAAUUUCCGCGUGGUAAGAAGAGAACCCAUUAAAUGAAGGUAUCUACGCUGAUAUGUUGAAAAUUUUAUUGUGCUAAUGUUGACAUUUUGUCGAGUGAUUUUUAGAUUUAUUAAGCUUAUUUGCAAUGCUUCAGAAUAGUUUAUGAAAUAUUUCUUUUGGAUUAACAUAACUUCUUCAUACAAAUACAUCUGAAAUCAACCUGUCGCGGUAUUUCAUUGCUUCCUUUUAUUCCUCUCAGUAGAUUACUGUUUUUGAUGGUCUUGCUGGUCUUGCUGGGCCAUCCGGGAUGGGUUUCAUACUCUCAGAUGCAGAGCCGCUUUCUGGAACAUGUUUGUUAAUGACCACUGAAGCUCCUGGUAGAUUGACCAAAUGCACAUUGUGAACGGCUGCUAUCAAUGAGAACACUAUGAAGAUACUGAACAGAGCGAACUUCAUUUCGAAUUUUGUGCACUUGAAACUUUGACGCGUAACGAUCGUAUAAAACGAAAUAAUGAAUGUACACUGUAUUUGACAUCACUCCGACACCAAAUUUUAUACUUUUUUUUUCAAAUUCAUUAGUUUAAAUGUAUCGAUGGAACGUGAGUUUUACGUAGUUAUAAUCUCAGGCUGGUAUUUGAUAAUUCUUACAUUUCACAUUUUGUCGAAUUUUGAUGGCUUUCAAAUUUUUUAUCCGUGUCUUAUCAACAAACCAUUUACCCACAAUUUGAAAAAUCUACGAAAAUUGUAAAUCUUGUUUCCAUUAAUCACGAUUCUCGAUAGGUACUUCGGUUUUCAAAUUUAAGUAAGUAUAAUAAAAAUUGUUCAAAGCCGAUUCUGAAUUGAAUUGAUUAAUUGAAAAAUUGCUAAAAAAAACUGCUUACAUUUUUCAAAAAAAAAGAGCAUAAAUACUUAUCAAUAACGAAGCCUCUAAAAAAAAUUGAAAUCGCAUUAGAAAAUUUCCUAGUAUACAAUUUUCUUAAUUUUCUUCAAAAGAUCCUUGGUAUUUCAAAUUUCCUAUGUUUAUUUUUUUUGGUUUUUGUUUUGGAGUGAAUCACCAGACAGAAAUUCAUGCCUGGAUUAAUAUUAACUGAAAAUGAAUCAUUAUUGCAAUUUUUGCCAAGGUAAUCGUGUUAGUUUUUUCCCACUCAAUUCCAUCAGGUGUGCAUAACAACUGCCUAUGCGCGAAAAAAUUCUCUGAGAAAGAAUUCCUAUCCCCUCGCCCUAAUUUGUCAUAGGUAUUUUGGCCAUUUUUUCCAUUUUUCAGUCAUAUUUUGGAAAUUUUGGCCAAAAUCCUUUUUAGGUAGGUAGGUACUUGGUAUUUUUCAUUAAAAAUGGAAAAGAUUUAAAAAAGGAUUUUUUAAUUUUUUUUCACCGCGUUGAGGCUAUUUGUAUGUCAACCUAAAAUUGAUUAUUCAAAGUAAAAUCAAAGACUUCGACCUCCUUUUUUUGAAUUUUCCAAUUUUCAUCAAAUUUUUCUGCAGUAGCAACAGGUUUUUGAUAAGAUACGCCGAAAAAAUGGUCAACGUUAACGUUUAGAUUUUAUGAUGUUUUCACGCAGAUAAUCACGUAUUACACAUUUCUACUACGCAGUAAAAAUAUUAAAAUGGAUAUUAUUUACACAGUACCUGUGUACCUAUAUUCAUAAUUAAAAUUGUGUUAUUAAUUUUUUGCGUUUCUUAGUUGAUCGAGUGUGACGCUUUGAAUACUGAAUUGGAGAUGAAAUAUCGUAUAAAAUCUGUCAUCAACUGGAUGUCUAGUACUCGUAUCAUAGUACCUACGAUAAGUUGUGUUUAUUUCAUUCUAUACUUACGUGUGUAUUUACAAGUGACAAAAUUUAAAAUGAAGUUAGUUUUGUUCAGUGUUAUUGCGUAUGUGGUAUUGAUGUUAUUUACAUACAUCAGUGGUUGGAAAUUUACGGUAGACAACCGCGGCGAUCCAUCCAAAGCUGUUAUUAAUGCAAAUUACUGGUUGAAUGGCAAAGAAAUUGAUGUAAAUUCAAGCUUGAUUCCAAAGGGGAGUAAAAAAUCACUCCACAUCCCUGACAAAGCAACUAAUUUGGAUAUAGUUGUUUUUGUAGAUGGCCAGAUACGUUACCUACGGUUUUUUAGUGAUCAUGAAAUACCUAAUGAAGAGCAAACAUUGACUAUAUAAACUUGAAGGCCCGUAGUGAACGGGUCGCAUAUGAAGUUUUAUUAAAUAUUUUAUUCGUCUG